UACGGAGGGCGCAAGCGUUGUUCGGAAUUACUGGGCGUAAAGCGCGUGUAGGUGGCUUGGAAAGUCGGGUGUGAAAUCCCUGAGCUCAACUCCGGAACUGCAUCCGAUACUGCCAAGCUUGAGUCUCGGAGAGGAUGGCGGAAUUUCCGGUGUAGAGGUGAAAUUCGUAGAUAUCGGAAGGAACACCAGUGGCGAAGGCGGCCGUCUGGACGAUGACUGACACUGAGACGCGAAAGCGUGGGGAGCAAACAGG
rnacentral:rRNA from 1 species